AUGAAGAAUAAUUAGUGGCAGACGGGUGAGUAAUGCAUAGGAAUCUACCUAGUAGUAUGGGAUAGCCACUAGAAAUGGUGGGUAAUACUGUAUAAUCCCUGCGGGGGAAAGAUUUAUCGCUAUUAGAUGAGCCUAUGUUAGAUUAGCUAGUUGGUAGGGUAAAGGCCUACCAAGGCGAUGAUCUAUAGCUGGUCUGAGAGGAUGAUCAGCCACACUGGAACUGAGAUACGGUCCAGACUCCUACGGGAGGCAGCAGUGGGGAAUAUUGGACAAUGGGCGCAAGCCUGAUCCAGCUAUGCCGCGUGAGUGAGGAAGGCCUUAGGGUUGUAAAACUCUUUCAGUAGGGAAGAUAAUGACGGUACCUACAGAAGAAGUCCCGGCAAACUCCGUGCCAGCAGCCGCGGUAAUACGGAGGGGGCAAGCGUUGUUCGGAAUUAUUGGGCGUAAAGGGCAUGUAGG
rnacentral:rRNA from 1 species